rnacentral:rRNA from 1 species
AACGAACGCUGGCGGCAUGCCUAACACAUGCAAGUCGAACGAAGCCUUCGGGCUUAGUGGCGCACGGGUGCGUAACGCGUGGGAAUCUGCCCUUGGGUUCGGAAUAACAGUUAGAAAUGACUGCUAAUACCGAAUGAUGUCUUCGGACCAAAGAUUUAUCGCCCAAGGAUGAGCCCGCGUCGGAUUAGCUAGUUGGUGAGGUAAAGGCUCACCAAGGCGACGAUCCGUAGCUGGUCUGAGAGGAUGAUCAGCCACACUGGGACUGAGACACGGCCCAGACUCCUACGGGAGGCAGCAGUGGGGAAUAUUGGACAAUGGGCGGAAAGGACCUGAUCCAGCAAUGCCGCGUGAGUGAUGAAGG